GACGAACGCUGGCGGCGUGCCUAAUACAUGCAAGUCGAACGGUCUUUUCUAUGGAAGCUUGCUUCCACUGAGAAGAUAGUGGCGAACGGGUGAGUAACACGUGGGUAACCUGCCCAUAAGAGGGGGAUAACAUCCGGAAACGGGUGCUAAUACCGCAUAGUUUUCUUGAUCGCAUGAUCGGGAAAGGAAAGACGGCCUUUGUGCUGUCGCUUAUGGAUGGACCCGCGUCUGAUUAGCUAGUUGGUGAGGUAAUGGCCCACCAAGGCGACGAUCAGUAGCCGGCUUGAGAGAGUGAACGGCCACAUUGGGACUGAGACACGGCCCAAACUCCUACGGGUGGCUGG
rnacentral:rRNA from 1 species